rnacentral:rRNA from 1 species
UAAGGAAUAUUGGUCAAUGGACGAAAGUCUGAACCAGCCAUGCCGCGUGGAGGAAGAAGGUCCUCUGGAUUGUAAACUCCUUUUAUCCGGGGCUAAAAUGGGGCUAUACGCCGUAUUGAAGGUACCGGAGGAAUAAGCCACGGCUAACUACGUGCCAGCAGCCGCGGUAAUACGUAGGUGGCAAGCGUUGUCCGGAUUUAUUGGGUUUAAAGGGUGCGUAGGCGGCUUAUUAAGUCAGUGGUCAAAUCGUGUGGCUCAACCAUACUUCGCCAUUGAUACUGAUAGGCUAGAAUGCGAGCGAGGAUGCUGGAAUGAGUGGUGUAGCGGUGAAAUGCAUAGAUAUCACUCAGAACACCGAUUGCGAAGGCAGGCAUCUGGUUCGCUAUUGACGCUGAGGCAC